GGAUUCCCCCAGUAACGGCGAGUGAAGAGGGAAAAGCCCAAAUUUGUAAUCUGGCUCUUUUAGAGUCCGAGUUGUAAUUUUGAGAACUGUUUUCUGUGCUGGACCAUGUUUAAGUCUGUUGAAAAACAGCAUCAUUGAGGGUGAUAAUCCCGUUCAUGAUAUGGACUACCAGUGCUCUAUGAUACAGUCUCUAAGAGUCGAGUUGUUUGGGAAUGCAGCUCAAAGUGGGUGGUAAAUUCCAUCUAAGGCUAAAUAUAGGUGAGAGACCGAUAGCAAACAAGUACCGUGAGGGAAAGAUGAAAAGAACUUUGGAAAGAGAGUUAACAGUACGUGAAAUUGCUGAAAGGGAAACAAUUGAAGUUAGCCUUGUUAUUUCCAGCUCAACCCUUCUAGGGUGUAUUCUGGUGAUUAACGACCAACAUCAGUCUUUGGGUGCUGGAUAAGGGUUUUGGAAAUGUAGCAGUCUAGGCUGUGUUAUAGUCCAUUACUUUGAUACAACGCUUAGGAUUGAGGAUCGCAGUAAGCCAAUUUUGGUGGAUCAAUUUAUUGGUCUUCUUAC
rnacentral:rRNA from 1 species